rnacentral:rRNA from 1 species
AGAGUUUGAUCAUGGCUCAGAUUGAACGCUGGCGGCAGGCCUAACACAUGCAAGUCGAGCGGAUGAGUGGAGCUUGCUCCAUGAUUCAGCGGCGGACGGGUGAGUAAUGCCUAGGAAUCUGCCUGGUAGUGGGGGACAACGUUUCGAAAGGAACGCUAAUACCGCAUACGUCCUACGGGAGAAAGUGGGGGAUCUUCGGACCUCACGCUAUCAGAUGAGCCUAGGUCGGAUUAGCUAGUUGGUGAGGUAAAGGCUCACCAAGGCGACGAUCCGUAACUGGUCUGAGAGGAUGAUCAGUCACACUGGAACUGAGACACGGUCCAGACUCCUACGGGAGGCAGCAGUGGGGAAUAUUGGACAAUGGGCGAAAGCCUGAUCCAGCCAUGCCGCGUGUGUGAAGAAGGUCUUCGGAUUGUAAAGCACUUUAAGUUGGGAGGAAGGGCAGUAAGUUAAUACCUUGCUGUUUUGACGUUACCAACAGAAUAAGCACCGGCUAACUUCGUGCCAGCAGCCGCGGUAAUACGAAGGGUGCAAGCGUUAAUCGGAAUUACUGGGCGUAAAGCGCGCGUAGGUGGUUCGUUAAGUUGGAUGUGAAAGCCCCGGGCUCAACCUGGGAACUGCAUCCAAAACUGGCGAGCUAGAGUAUGGCAGAGGGUGGUGGAAUUUCCUGUGUAGCGGUGAAAUGCGUAGAUAUCGGGAGGAACACCAGUGGCGAAGGCGGCUUUCUGGCCUAUCCCUGACG